AUUGAACGCUGGCGGCAGGCCUAAAACAUGCAAGUCGAACGAGUGGCGGAGGGGUGAGUAAGGUAUGGGAAACUGCCUGAUGGAGGGGGAAAACUACUGGAAACGGUAGCUAAUAACGCAUACCAUCGGAUGGGGCCAGAUUGGAUUAGAUAGUAGGUGGGGUAAAGGCUCACCUAGGCGACGAUCCCUAGCUGGUCUGAGAGGAUGACCAGCCACACUGGAACUGUGACACGGUCCAUACUCCUACGGGAGGCAGCAGUGGGGAAUAUUGCACAAUGGGCGCAAGCCUGAUGCAGCCAUGCCGCGUGUAUGAAGAAGGCCUUCGGGUUGUAAAGUACUUUCAGCGGGGAGGCGUUACCCGCAGAAGAAGCACCGGCUAACUCCGUGCCAGCAGCCGCGGUAAUUC
rnacentral:rRNA from 1 species